GAUGAACGCUGGCGGCAUGGAUUAGGCAUGCAAGUCGAACGAAGAAUCUGAAGCUUGCUUCAGAGGACGAGUGGCGAAAGGGUGAGUAACGCGUGAGUAAUUUGCCCUCAAGUUGGGAAUAACACCUGGAAACGGGUGCUAAUACCGAAUGUGAAUAUUUAAACGCCUGUUUUAAUAUUUAAAGAUUUAUCGCUUGAGGAUGAGCUCGCGUCCCAUUAGCUAGUUGGUAGGGUAAUGGCCUACCAAGGCAACGAUGGGUAGGUGGUCUGAGAGGAUGGUCACCCACACUGGGACUGAGACACUGCCCAGACUCCUACGGGAGGCUGCAGUCGAGAAUCUUCCGCAAUGCGCGAAAGCGUGACGGAGCAAUGCCGCGUGAUUGAUGAAGGCCUUAGGGUUGUAAAGAUCUGUCAACAGGGACGAAAUAAAUGACGGUACCUGUAGAGGAAGCCACGGCUAACUACG
rnacentral:rRNA from 1 species